UUCAUUUACUCUUCCACAGGGGAGGAAGAGUAACUUAGUUUCAUUGGUAUGUUUGGAAAGAGAUAAUGGGCAUGGGCUUCCAAUCUGUCUUUUCUUUUUAGGCACAGACCUGCCUAUAGAAAGCCUGAGUUCUCCAACCAGAGGGAAGCACUUCCUAGAACUGUGUAUAUGCAUCUGUUGAAGAGUGAAGUUCAGAUUCCUCAUAGAAGAAACAGGGAUGAUAAUAGUACCUGCAUGGUAGCAUUAUGCUGAAGAUAAGUGAGUUAAUACAAACAGAGUGCUGAGAACAGUGCCUGGUGCAGAGCAGUUCUCAACAGGUUGCCAUUGUGCAGUGCACAGAGAGAGCUCUCUGCCACCACGAGUCCUGCCAUCUUGAAACGCAGGAUGUUAUAGAUGCAAGAUCGUGCAACUGAAGGACUAUGGCUAUGGUAGCUGUCCACGAAGACUGGCCGUCGUAUUCAUGCUUGUGCAGCCCUUGGACUUUUAGAUCUUCCAGGUACCCAUACCUCACAAAGGUCUUUUUCUAGGAGAGUGAUAAACUUUCACAGAAGUUUUGUUUUGAAUCUGAAGGGACCAUAUGAAUUACCUAUUCUUAUUUAUGGCACACAAAUGAGAAAAAUGAGACCAAAAGAAGUUUAGUGUUUGUCUAGAGACAAGUAUCUAGUUAUUCAAAAGACCAUGAAUCGGAAUGCAGCCUGGCCUGGCAGUAUUUCUUUGUGAUAACUGCUUGUUAUUGCAUAGAUGGGAAGCUUGCCUUGUUAUUGCAUAGAUGGGAAGCUUUCUAGUGGUUUUCAGAGCUCUGAAGGCCAUGAGAGAUUCUUUUGCUCUGUUGCUAGCUUUCCUUGAUACUGACAUAGUGUUACCAUAAAACCUCCUGUUUUUCUUCCUGGUUCUCAGGUAGAACCCUCUCCCAGAAAAGGAAUCUUAUUGGCAGUAUAUUGAAUUUAAUGUGUAUAUUUUCAUAUAAUUUUUUUUCACAUUUGGAGAAGCAAUAGAACAUGACUAAUUUAUUUUUCAUAAAACAGAUACUGUGUUAAAAUGAUUCUAUGAAAAAAUCUGAAAGAAUACAUAUGAGGGAAUAUAUACCAUAUUUAGAACUACAAUAGUGAGCUAAUUUCCAGUUAACAGACGAUAUGAAACUAAAUUUUCAUUUAGAAACAGGUUAACUCUAAUUACUAAACUCAGUUUAUUUUCACAAGAGAUUUAAAACAUCUGAGUCAGAAACACUUUUAUUCUUUUAAAAUAUAUUUAUGCUUCUAAAUGCCAGCUGUUGCAAAAUAUGCCUUCCCAUUAAAUCUCUUAUUUACAGUUACUAGAAGUCACACAUGUUUCAGACCAGUCACAACAAAGUUUUUGAAGAAGCAUCACUCAAAGGUUUUUUAUCAGUUGUAAUAGGGACAGAUAUAGCAUUUGCAUGAAUGUGAUGCUAGCUUCUGUAAAAACACUUAACGUGUGUAGUGGUCCAAAUAGUAUAGAAAUGUAUUCCUCAUUCAAUAAAGUACAAAAUAGAUAUCCUUGGCUUAUGAGUAGCCUUCUUCCAAGUAGUGAGUCAGGAAACCUAGUCUUUUUCCAUCUUGCAGUUCUAUCAUCUUCAGUAUGUGGCUUCCCAAGUCUGUGUGCACACUCUGUGGAAAGAGUGGUUGGAGAAGUCACAUUGACUCCUCAACCACAUUGGCCCCAUUGCCUCACACACAUCCCAUUGGCAAGAAUGAGUCACAGGGUCCCACAGGGACUCAGGAAUGUCAUUUUUGGCUGGGCAGCUGCUACUCAUUAACAACUCUGUAUUUUGGAAGGGGGAGCAACGAUUUGGCAGAGUCAGUCUCCUCUGCUAUAAUAACUCACCCAUAAUCGACACUCAAGACACAUGAUAGUUGAAGACUAGUUUUAAAAGUGAAGGUUUGGAUAACUUUGUUCCGAAAGUGCAGACAUCCGUAUUCAUUCAUAUGACAGUUUUUGGCAAUGGCUAAGAGUGGAUUGACUCAGAUGGACAGCCUAGGCAUUCUAAUUGUGUGGUGUCCCUUCAAACUGAUCAUCUUUAAAUAUUUGUUUAAUAACGAUUUAGCAUGGGUGAUGAACACUGUUUACUUUUAAAAAUGUACACUUUUUAUGUUCAAAGUAUGAGCCUUACUUUAUAUAAUAUCUAAAGUAGAUAGCCUACUAGAAGACAUAUAUAUGACAUAUACAAAUUUGAAGGCAUAUAUUAAAGUAUACAUAUUAUGUACAUACUUUUAUAUAUGUCUAUAAUAAAGUAAAUUAAAUAAUUAAUUAACUCAGUCCAAGGUCAAAAUUCCACACCUUCAUUAUUCAGUUAUGGAAUUUGAGCAGGUUGUGACUGCCGGUUUACUUGACUCUCAGUGAACUGAGAUGAACUGUCCGCCUUCAGGGAUGGUGGCUUUCUGCAGGACGGUACAAUUUACAUCACAGAAACCUCAGAGAUAAUGGGUCCAAAGGAGCUCAGAAAAGAUUUUCUUGCCACUUAAAGGCACUAUCAAUUUGAGUGCAAGCAUUUUCAUUCCAAUUUAGUAGUUACUAUAAAAAGAUGUUGGAAAUCCAAAAAUAACUUGUACCAUAGUUUCGUUUCAUCCCAAUUACACGUUAGAGCCAACAUUGCCCACGAGUUGUUCCAGUUUGGCACUUCGUCACUCUUUGCCAAAUUAUUCCACAGGUUUGCAACUUGACAGGCUUCUGGAGAGGUAUAUUACUUCUAGUACUGACAAAGAUAAUCAAUGCCUGAAAGAACUAUGAAUCUGUCUCUACAUAGCAAAGUGAUGCCUGGAAGAUGUUUUGAUGUCACUGUUCUCUUGAGGUCAUAGGGUGCCUAAAGUUGUAUUAUGUUGGCUGUUUACAUUCUCUAAAGCAGUGCUCCUUAACUGUGGUGGUACAUUGGAGGACUUUGUAUAAAGAACUGAUGCCCAUCCCUCUUCCUGUCCCAGUGGCUCUGAUUAUCCUGAGGUGAGAUCUGGACAUUGAU